rnacentral:lncRNA from 1 species
GGGCUAACGGCGAGCAACGCCGUCAGCGUGAAAUGAUGCCGUUGCCCCCACCCCCAUCCCCACCCGUUUCGCGCGCGCAAGGCGGGAAAAAAGUGGCGGGAGACGCAUGAAGGCGGCCACCGAGCCAGCCAACCCAGGAAUAGUAGUAUUAUAUUAAUUUUAUUAUUAUUAUUAUUUCGUGGCAGUAAAAAAAACCAGCGGAGUUUGAACUCCUAGUGAAGUGAGGCAGAGCGGAGCAGCCGCAGCAGUAAAUGGUGGUGGCGUGGGGCCCAAGGCGGGUGGGCCGGCGCGCGCUUUGUGCGUGAGCUGCCUUGAAUGGCACGGCUCCCGCGUGGAAACGGAACAGUGUAGUUGCGUGGCAGAUAUUUAUUUUUUUCCCUUUUUUUUUUCUGUUUUUGUUCGGAGGGAGUAAAAAUUAAAUGGUGGUGGCGUUUGUCUCGUCUCUCACGUGCCGGUCAGACCGUGUCAGCGCUCAGCAACCGGCGGUGAAUGGGUGUGAUUAGUGGCUGCUGAUGUGGGUGCUUACAGCUGUUAAACUGCACUCUGGUCGUCCCCUCUCCUCCUGUGAUGACAGGUGACAGCGACCACGCCGGCGAUCUGUGGUCGGGGCUUGUUUGUUUAACGUGGUUGGUGAUUUUAAGCGAUGAAAAAAAAUGUUUUCCGGA